rnacentral:lncRNA from 1 species
UUGUCUCUUACAGUGGAGAAUUUUGAAUAACUUUAAAGGACAGUGGACUAGAAUAAGAUAUACAUUCUUUGAUUAACUAGAGUGUGAAGCAUAAAACAAAUUUAUUUUCUACUUUUACAUACCUUUACAAGCAUCUUGUGAAAGUAAAUGAUGUUUUAAAAGUUCAAAUUACACUCUUUUACUUUUAAAUUUGUUUCCCAAAUAGAUAUAUUGAUUUUAUUUACAAAAAUUAUUUUAUCAUAACAAUGCAGUUCUUGUAAAUGUUUGAUAUCACUAUGCUUGUCAUAAAGUUACCUACAAUAGCUUUAGAAUUUGUCACCAAAACCCAUAUUUUAUGCAUUUGUAGCAUGUUGUCAGUGUAAUAAAAAUUUAAGGAGAUGGUGAAAAAGCAGUCACUGUGAACUUUCACAUGCUGGUGUCAACCUUUGGUUUUUAGAAGGAAGUUCUUUCAGGUGACCCCAGUAAUAACUAGGUUGGUGGGAGUCAUAACUAGUUUGGGAAUGUCAGAAUAUUUGGUAUUGACCCUAUUCCUAAAACCCCUUUCUGGAUUUUUAGUGCCCAGAGCAGGUUGGCUUUGGAAGUACUGCAUCUUUAUCAGUACCUGCGUAUGCCAGUCGAAUGUCUGCAUUUCUGCCAGCAAAGCAGGAACUAACAGACCAGUGCCAGUGUAUUCCAGAGAAGAUAAGUCAGGUGCCAGAGCCAUUCAUUCUCUGGGUAAGUUAGAAGUGCAUUGGAUGGGAUUUCCUGGAUUUCAGUCUCGUUAGUUCUGAGCCCAUCUGACCUUCUUUCCUGGGUGGGUAAUACAAUGAGGAAAAGAAAGAGAGGAACCAUCUGUAUAAUAGGUAAAUAUGAGUACAUAAUAUGUGCCAGCAAUAGGCUUCAAUUCUGGAAAUUCACAGUUGGAGGAAACUCAGUUCCUUCCCUUCAAUGCAUAUCCAAAGAUACUCCAUGUAUUGUGUGUCUCUGUUAUGUGGAGACUGUAUCUGUCCAGUAUCCCCAAUAUCCACCAGCUCUGCCCUUUGCUGUGAGUUGUACAGGGAGUACAGAGGGCCCCUGGUUUUGCUCAAAGGAUUUGUUUCACUUGCCCCUCCCUCAUUGGGAAGCCUGGGCCUGUGGACCUACAUGAACAUCUUUUGUGGGUUAAAGGCAACCAGAGACCUGUGCUAAAAGUAGGCUUCCCUCUAUGUCUGUACCCUAGGGAAGGAAAAUUUUGCCCCAGCUCCUAGAGCAAAAGGUCCCCUGGCACUGCAACUUGAUGCAGGCCUUCGGGCUUCAAGCACUCUGAUACCAUCUCAUGUCCAGGCUGGAGCAGUGGGGAAGGGGAUGAGGUGGAAAUUUAGAGGAACCUGAAGUUUCCUCCAGUGACCAGCAUGUAGGGUAAGCUCCAUGCAGGAGGCUCACACAAGGUGCAAGGAGUGUAAAAGAGCACAUGUUUCAGCCCAUGGAAGGUUCGGACAGGAGAUGUGGCUGCCUGGUGUUUGAAAGAGGGAGUAGUAAACCUCAUGGUGGGGAGAGAAGAGCCUCCCAGCAGAGGGACCAGCAUCAGCUCCCAGGAGAGCAAAGCUUUGUCUUACUUUUGUCAGUUUCCUAUUUAAAAACUAUUUGUCUUUAGUUCAUUGUGACAGAAUGUUGGAUAAAAAAAUUCAUUUCUGCUCAGGGAGAAGCAGGAUUACAGGGAGCUCCAGGCUCACCGGGCCAGAAAGGAGACAAAGGACAGCAGGUAAGACACCAUCCAGUGCUGUCAGGAUGCAAGAGGAUUUGUCCAAAAGUGACUUUAAACUUGUGUCCAGCUCAUUUUUCUAGUCCCAUAUAAAUGCACAUUUCCAUAAAAAAGGCUGUCAAGGGCUGUAUUUAAGUGCUGUGCUGACCACUGAAAUAAAGAAGACUGAUAUCAGCAUGCAAGUCUGCUUUGGAGAAUCCUAUUGAAGGCUGGCCUAAAAUAUGGAAAGAUUAGGAAAUCUAGAUCUUUGUACCUGUUAAACCACAAGCAAAACCGCAAAGCAAGAAAGUUUGUUUUUCAGCGGUGUUGUAGCUUUCUUUAGCAUUCUCUUCUCCAAAUGCUUGAUGAACUUCUGAUGCUCUUGUCUGCUGAUAGGUCUCCACUGAAGAUUUUUCCUUACCCUUUAUUCAGGGGUGUAAACAUCUUUGUUGAACACUUUCUCUGCGUAAGGCCUAGUGUUGGGUGUUAGAGGGGGUAGACAGAAGGGGAUCCAUUCCCUUUUCUCCAUGAUUUUAAAUCUGGGAGAAGACAGAAGACCUUAUCAGACCGCAUGUGUUAGGUGCUGUAGGAGCAUUUCAGGGGUCCUCAGGGAACUGUCUGGGGAGACUGGGGAGAGUUUCCUGGAGGAGAUGGUAAGUGACAGGACCUGUGAGAAUCUGAUUCUAGCCAGUAUCCACACCUAGAGACUGCCUUUCCCUUCUCCCUAUCCCUUUUAUAACUGAACUAUUCAGUUCCCCACUCUUUUGAGUCAUGUCUUUUUUUCAACCAGUUUUUUUUUUUAAUUGAAGUACAGUCAGUUUACAGUGUUGUGUUAGCCUCAGGUGCACAGCAAAGUGACUGAAUUAUACAGGCAUAUAUAUUCUUUUUUCAGAUUCUUUUUUUUUUAAUAUCCAGCAGAUACUCAUUUUUUUAUUUUAAUGAUUUUUAUUUUUUUCCAUUGUGAGAUUCUUUUCCAUUAUAGUUUAUUACAAGACAUUGGAUGUAGUUCCCUGUGCUAUACAGUAGGUCCUUGUUAGUGUUCUAUUUUAUAUAUAGUAAUAUGUAUCUGUUAAUCCCAAACAUGUAUCUUCCCACCUCCUCUAUCCCCUCUAGUAACCAUAAGUUUGUUUUCUAUGAGUCAUGUCUCUUGUUAGCUCACUAGGUAGAUUAAUUUCUGCCAAGGUUAGAGUUGGUUAUGUUCUUACUAUCUUUCCAAGGUAAAAUAGUUUAAAUUCUUUUCAUGCCUUAACUUGGAAAUCCAAAGCUUUAAAUUGUUUAUAUAAUCUACAUGGACUCCUUAUUUUAAAAGGCUCAUAAGCAGAUUAAUUUAUGCCAAGAUUAGGAGUUGAUUAUAUCUUUCCAUGGAAGAUAGAAUAGUAGACUUUCCUUUGGGAUCAUAGACCAAGAAUGGAGAGUUCCCUGGUGGCCUAGUGAUUAAGGAUUCAGCUUUGUCACUGCUAAGUUACCUGAAGUUCCCAUGGAAAAUAAAGAACUCAUAGAAGACAAACUUAUUAAGCACCUCAGUGGCUUCUGCUUGAGAGGAACUGUUUGGGGUAGGAUGGGUGUUUAUUUUUAAAGGCUGAGAAAUGACUGAUUUCACCAAGCUGCACAACAAGCUUCAACCAAGCCAUUCUUGGUUGGGUUCUUUUUUGGCCAAACCCACAACAUACAGAAGUUCCCAGGCCAGGGCUCAAACAUCAUCCACCUUAUAAACAAUAAUAUUCAGUAUUAUUUAUGUGUGGUCUUUGGUCAGGUUACUUCCACUUGUAAUAUCUUAUUUUGUCCUUAUCACCUAAGAAUGUAAAUCUAAUAUUUGUAUCCUCAUUUUGCAACUGAGAGAACCGUGCUUUCAAAAUCAUUAUAAUACUGAAGUGCACUUUUUAUUAUGUGAAAGCUUAAAAUAAUUGAGCAAUAUCUAGUUCUAAAGACUAUUUUUAUUAAUUAAUUAAUUUAUUUAUUUAUUUAUUGGCCCUGCACUCAGCAUGCAGAAGUUCUGAGGCCAGGGUUCUAAAGGCUAUUUAAAUCAAACUAAACAUUAAAAAUUACAGCAAUCUGGAGUUCCCAUCAUGGCGCAGUGGUUAAUGAAUCUGACUAGCAUCCACAAGGACGCAGGUUUAAUCCCUGGCCUUACUCAGUGGGUUAAGGAUCUGGCAUUUCCGUGUGCUGUGGUAUAGGUUGCAGACUCAUCUUGGAUCCUGUGUUGCUGUGGCUGUGGCAUAGGCCGGCAGCUAUAGCUCCAGUCUGACCCGUAGCCUGGGAAACUCUAUAUGCCAUG